rnacentral:lncRNA from 1 species
UCUGGUUUUUCUUUAGUUUUUUGUUUUUCUCUUUCUUCUAAUUUAUGUUAUUUCUUCAUCAGCCGGAAGCAGAAAGUGGCUUCAGUGGGGCUCACACCCCUGAAGGCCGUGAAGAGGGGUGCGCAGUGAACCCCUAGGUCAGCAAGACCCAGGUCACCGCCCCCUUUGAACCGUGGAGAGGGCGAGCGCUCCCGUGAGGAAGGGGGGGGGUAGGUGACGAGGUAGAAAACACCGGAUCCCCUAGCGAAGGAAGCAGAGACGUCGAGGCCCAGGAGCCAAAGGAAGCAGUCCUGGCUCUCGGGGCCAUUCCCCCUUCGGAGGAUGCUAAUGUGGGGGGUCA